UCUAUUGGCAUCUUGACAGCUGUCCUCACGACUGCGUAUCUCAGCUGGCGUUAUAAGAAAAAUAAUGGACCCUCGUAAGAGAUGGAGUCAACAAAUGAAGACCUACACCAAGAUGAAAACGCUCAGACGACACCUGCAUCCGCUUUCUGAAAACCUUUUCUCUUGAGCUUCGGGCUUGGGGACAGAGGAGUUAUAGAAACGACCUACAUAUAGAUUACUAGGAGUCAGAUAAGUCCAGUGGGUCAGAGAAGCCAGAUUACCAGCCAGGAUGAUAAUUUAACUUCGAUUUGAACUCAGCGGCUGAAAUAGGUCAUGCUGCAUUUAAAAUCAGUCAACGGGCGUUUGGUUUUUUUUUUCAAGGGGGCGUCGGUUGCGCAACGGUGUAGGCGUUGAAACGGCGCUCAUCACUGUAAGAUAAAGGUCUCGGGUUCGAAUCCAGUGGCCCUGCAACCCGGAUGGGGUGAGAAUUCUUCUACAGAAAAUUUUAUACAAAUAAUUGAAGGAUCUGAAAGAAAAGGUUUUUUCCGUUUGUCUGUUUUGUCUCUUCUCUCUCUGUAUUUUGCUUAUUACUUCAGCGGUGUCAUUUUGAGCCAAUUACCCUGGUUUAGAAGUGGUUACUCGACAAUGAAUUCGGUACUCUCUGUUUUUAACUCAAUUAAACUUCGUCUGAGCAACGCAGGUAAUGGAGUUUAUGCUAUUUUCGGAAAUUGCAAAUCCUUUGUUUCAGAAGAUCCACGCCUCUUCACUAGAAAUAAAAUACACAAAAUAAGAAGCUUACCGACGAAGACGUUGUUCACCAGAAGCUUAAUAAACCGCAUAAAUAAUCUGAUUUUAAAUGUAAAUAAUGUCGGAAAACGGCAAAUGCCGAGUAGCGAGGAGGAGAAGUAUAAUUUAGAUACAUUGUUUUCA